UCACCUCACUCUCCCAGACGAGGCCCCCCAAGCCCCCUCACUCGUCGCACAUGCGCACAAAGCUCACCGGAACUCCAUGCCCCGGCAGGCUUUGCGCCAAACUCAUCCGUCCCCUUCCCCCCAAUACUCAGACACCUAGCCUUCCGUUCCCCUUCCGCCCCCCACCGGCCUCACCCGGAACUACGUUUCCCAGGAAGCAUCGCGGCAAAAGGACGCGUCCCUUUAGCAACUCGUCGUGACGAACUUCGCACGCCCGUCUCCAGAUAGCUCUGAACUACGCUUUCCAAGGGGUGUCGAGAACGGCCCACGGCCUACUAGCCCAAGCAAACAGGGUCUCUCAGCGCGCCAGGCUUGGAACUACAUUUCCCAGAAUGGCUGCAGGGUUUCCCCACCCCCCCAAAUUGGCUCGCGCGCAAGCAUGCGCAGAUGUGCCGACGGGAAGGCCGAGGUGGGGAGGAGGAGCUGUCAUGGCGGCAUUGUCCCGAAACAGGAGGCUAGAGGGUUCUGGGGAUGAAGUCAGUGAGAUGCGCUGGGCGAAGAGUUGGAACCAGAACACCUGCUGUCAAAGUCAGGCUGAUUGAAGGUUCUGGAGGACUGGUCCCAGGGCACCUCAGGAGGGCUGGAAGGUGAGUGCAGCACAGGGUGGCCAGGGGCUGAGGAAGCAUGAUAAAGGAAGAGGGUCACUCAUGCGCUGGGGCUGUUUGUGAUUUCUGCAGUUGUGGUGUGUGAGUCCACGGGCGCCGUCCCAGGCCUCGGGGCUUCAACAGCACAGUUCUUCUCUCCCAGUUUGGCCAGAAACCCAAGAUCAGGUGUCAGCAAAGUUGGUUUCGCACAAGCACUAACCACUCUUAGCAAGAAGGCCAAUUCUCUGGUAUGGGAUCCAUAUAUAAUGAUCAAUUUUCUUUCUUUCUUUUUUUUUUUUUUUAAAUAAUUUUUAGUUUCAUUUUUCAAGAAAGAAUUCCAACCAAGCUUGAAAAUAACACUCUUGGGACCCCUGGGUGGCUCCGUCGGUUGGGCAUGUGCCAUCAGCUCAUGUCAGGAUCCCACGGUUCUGGGACUGAGUCCCGCAUGGGACUCCUUGCUCAGCGGGGAGCCUGCUUCCCCCUCUGCUGGCCGCGCCCCCUGCUGUGUGCACGAUCACUUUCUCUGACAAGUAAAUAAGAUCUUUAAAAAAAUUAAAAAUAAAUAAAUACAUACAUAAAUAAAUAAGAAAAUA
rnacentral:lncRNA from 1 species